rnacentral:rRNA from 1 species
UACGGAGGGGGCGAGCGUUGUUCGGAUUUACUGGGCGUAAAGGGUGUGUAGGCGGCUGGAUAAGUCUGGUGUGAAAUCUUCACCGCUCAACGGGAAGGGGUCACUGGAAACUGUCCAGCUUGAGUAUGGUAGAGGCAAGCGGAAUUCCUGGUGUAGCGGUGGAAUGUGUAGAUAUCAGGAAGAACACCGGUGGCGAAGGCGGCUUGCUGGGCCAUCACUGACGCUGAGACACGAAAGCGUGGGGAGCAAACGGG